rnacentral:rRNA from 1 species
UACGUAGGGUGCGAGCGUUGUCCGGAAUUAUUGGGCGUAAAGGGCUCGUAGGCGGUUUGUCGCGUCGGGAGUGAAAACUCGGGGCUUAACCCCCGGGCCUGCAGUGGGUACGGGCAGACUAGAGUGCGGUAGGGGAGACUGGAAUUCCUGGUGUAGCGGUGAAAUGCGCAGAUAUCAGGAGGAACACCGGUGGCGAAGGCGGCUCUCUGGACCGAUACUGACGCUGAGGAACGAAAGCUAGGGGAGCAAACAGG